GAGAAAGAAUGGGGAUGAGCACUUUGGUGUGGCUGUGAUGAACAGAACUCCAGACCUCAAACAUGUUUUAUCUGGGAGUCUUCCUCUUUCAUGACAUUCACAGAAGGCCUAUGGUGUGCCAGGCCCCGUGGACAGCACUGUGGACACAGAUGCAUAAUAACAGUUCCUACCCUCCAGAUAGAGAGGCAAGAAAGGGCUGUGGAAGCAAACCCAAGGUACUAAGGAAGCCGGGAAGAGAACCUACUCUAGACUUGGAAGUUGAAGGGGUCAAGAAACAUUCCUAGAGAAGAUACCUGAGUCUUGAAAACUGAGAAGGAAUUAGUAACCCAACAGAGGUGGGAACUUUCUGAGGACGGAGAUGGAGAGGAAGAUGCUGCCAGCUGAGGGACCACCAUUCUGAAAGCUAGGAGAAAGUGCGCGAUGGAAAGUGGGCCUGAGGGAAAGGCUGUAAGCACCUCACUAUUAAUCACAAUUCUCCCUAUAGGAAAAUAAAUGCUGUUUCUACUUCAGCAAGUUUUUUUCCUUUUGUUUACAUUUUUUCUCAUUAUGAAGUGAUCAUCCUUUAAUUUGGAUGUGAACACUACGUCUAUUUGCAGGACAGACUCACUGUUCUAUAGAGCUCAAGAUUAUUACCAG
rnacentral:lncRNA from 10 species